rnacentral:rRNA from 1 species
AACUGAAAAUAUAAGAGGUCCCGCCUGCCCUGUGACUAUUAGUUUAACGGCCGCGGUAUUUUGACCGUGCGAAGGUAGCGCAAUCACUUGUCUUUUAAAUGGAGACCUGUAUGAAUGGCAUAACGAGGGCUUAACUGUCUCCUCUUUCAAGUCAAUGAAAUUGAUCUUCCCGUGCAGAAGCGGGAAUAUAACCAUAAGACGAGAAGACCCUAUGAAGCUUUAGACACCAAGGCAGAUCAUGUUAAACACCCCUUAAUAAAGGACCAAACCAAAUGAGUCCUGCCCUAAUGUCUUUGGUUGGGGCGACCGCGGGGAAACAAAAAACCCCCACGUGGAAUGGGAACACCCCCUCCUACAACUAAGAGCUGCAGCUCUAGUCAACAGAAUUUCUGACCAAUAAGAUCCGGCAAUGCCGAUCAACGAACCGAGUUACUCUAGGGAUAACAGCGCAAUCCUCUUUUAGAGCCCAUAUCGACAAGGGGGUUUACGACCUCGAUGUUGGAUCAGGACAUCCUAAUGGUGCAGCCGCUAUUAAGGGUUCGUUUGUUCAACGAUUAAAGUC